UAAGCCAUACGAGAAAUUAAUAUUCUCAUCAAGUCACUAAUUAUCCAGAAUUGUUUGCUCUUUACAUAAAUGUCAACUAAUCAAAACAAAAUUCCAGGUUUCUAUUUUCCUUGUAUAAACAUUAAUACGUAGGUUCUUCGUCGUAAGAUAUAGUAUAAAGGAUUUGUAGUGUUGGUACAGUUAUUUGAAAGAAAACAGGAUUAAACGAAGUAUUUUGGAGUGUGUGUUAAGAUGAGUACACGACUCUGGCUUACACUUAUCAUUGUUGGUUUUCUAUUAACUUCCAUAGUAACUGAAGUAAAUGGACAACGUUGUAAGAUGCUAAAUGGAGGUUGUCGAGACACAAUAAAAAAGGACGGGAAGGGAUUGUGUGCAAGUAUUAAAGGAAAAUGUGGUUUUGUUGGUAAAAAUUGCAGAUGCCGGUCUGGAAAAGCCCAAGGAUGGACAAAAUGAUGUCAGAAAACAACAUGUACUCUUGCAACACUGCAAAACGACGGACUUUGUCAUAUACAAACACUACAUAAAUUGAUAAACGACACACGUACAAUCUGUUAAAAUGACUUUUUUUUAUAAUUAUCGACAAAAAUGUUAUACAAAUGUAUCACUAUUCCCACUUUUAUUAAGUUUAUGUAUAAAAUGCAGUAUUGGUUAAUUCCUCCCAAAAUCCACAAGACCUAAACACCAUCCUAUUUAUUUCGUUAUGGAAGAUUCACCGAUAUUAUAUUGGACAGGCUGAAGCUCUACGCUCCACGUUUCACACUACCACGUUAACGGUUUUAAUUUCUUCAACGUAAAAUCAGCUUAACAUUUUUAUUUAUUUUUAGAGCAACUGGUAUUUUCUUUUGUUUCAUUGAAUGGUAUUACGACUUAAAUUGAUAUCAUGUAUUCUUUUCACAGGACGACCACUGAAUCUGUAUACAUCCAAAUAAAAUGUAUUUCAUUAGUGGUAGUCGUGCUUCGUUCAUAACAAAAAUAUCAUUUCCAUACCCUUAUUCAUAAUGCAAAGUUUUUAAAUGCAUAACACAUAUAUAGGGUGUUCUAAAAGUGUAUUAUUUCUAUUACUUUCUUACAUUCGUGAAUUUUAUUUGAAAAAGAUGAAAUAGAGCUAUUUUGAAAACGGUA